rfam:Ictidomys tridecemlineatus contig028373, whole genome shotgun sequence.
GGGAAUGUGGCUCAGUGGUAGAGUGCUUGCCUGGCAGGCAAGAGGCCCUGGGUUCAAUUCCCAGCAAUACACA